rnacentral:rRNA from 1 species
UACGUAGGGUGCAAGCGUUGUCCGGAAUUAUUGGGCGUAAAGAGCUCGUAGGCGGUCUGUCGCGUCGGCUGUGAAAACCCGGAGCUCAACUCCGGGCCUGCAGUCGAUACGGGCAAACUGGAGUGUUGCAGGGGAGACUGGAAUUCCUGGUGUAGCGGUGAAAUGCGCAGAUAUCAGGAAGAACACCAAUGGCGAAAGCAGCUCUCUGGGACGGUACUGACGCUGAGACGCGAAAGCGUGGGGAGCGAACAGG